rnacentral:lncRNA from 1 species
AUGUGGUCCUGGGUUCAAAUCCCAACUUCGCUUCUAACAGUCGAGCCCCCUGGUAACUUCUGGGAGCCUCCACGCGGCCCCGAGGCCCGAUCAGGCUGGAAGCCGGACUCAGAGUCCACCUCCCUGCGGCUGUGCCCUCUGCAGGUGCAGGGCGGGCAGGAGGCCUCCCGGGUCCAUCAGGUUCAUGUCCUCCCCCUCCAGCCUCAGGACCGGGGCCCCCCACCUCCUCCUCCCCUCGCUCUGGCUGCCACCAGGCCUCUCCCCGAGCAUCACCUCCUCAGAGAGGUCUUUCCAGAUCAGACCAGCGCUCUCCAGGCCUUCACUGCCCCCCCCACCCCGAGCCCGGGAGCCCCACCACCCCUGACCUUACCUGGCCUCCUCCCUGCGACCAUCAGCUUCACCGGGGCAGGGGUUUUGUUCGCCUGUUUUUUUCACUGUCAUCCCAGUGUCUGUCGCAGUUCCAGGCACAUACCCGAUAUCCGAUGCAUAUUUGUUGGACGAUCCUCCCCCAGAAAUAUUGGGGGCCGGGGUGGCGGGUCUGGGCAAGUCAGCCCCAUGCAGGACACCAGCCUCACUCGCUCCUUCCUCUGGGUGCCCCAAGGCUGGCGGGGUGACCCCGUGGGGGUGCCCUCUGGCUGUGGGAGUGCCCACACUCCCGGCUCGCAGCUCCGACACCUGCGCUCAGGUGCCCGACAUCCCCAGGCCCCACUGGCCCGAUUCUCAGGUGAGAGAGCAGAACCCCAGCCGGGUCGGUGCCCAGGGGCACGCGGGGUGGCGGGUGUGAGAGAGGAGGGGCACCAGGGGCCCCUAGGGAGGCGACAGCCCCCACGUCAUCCUCUUCCCCCAGCAGUAAUUUCUGCAGGCCGUUAUCGGAAGCAGGGGGCAGGUCACAAAGCACGAGUCCCACCGUUACAGACUUCGGGGACCUUGGAGCAGCUUCACCUUGGUGGGGGUCGAGGGGCGUUGGCUGCUGACUUGGGGGGAAUGGGGGCCAGGGAGCCCUGGCUCUGCAGAUCUCUCAGCUGCUGGCUUCUUUAG